ACAAUACACCAUUCUUCAAAUGCCCAUAUAGCUCAUCUUCAGUUGAUGUCUUGGUUCUAUCUCUCUCAGUGUCGACCUUCUUCCCCUUAGACACUUUGGCUCUCUUGUGCGGAGUUUGGUCUUCUUCAGUGAUGUCUUCAUUCUCCUCCUCUUGGGGAAGAGUUACCCCCUUGCCUUUCGGUUCCUUUGACCUUUUGGAAUGGGCUGACCUUCU
rnacentral:lncRNA from 1 species